AAAGCAAAGCAGCAAAUCUGUUUUAUUGCUGUACCUAUACCAGUGGAGGAAGAGGGGGAAAAUACAGGAGGAAGAGGACAAGACAGACACGUGUUCAUUUAAAUAAUGUACCUCUGUGUGUGAGAGGAAAUUCACUGAACUGAAUUUAUUUUGCAGCCCCUGACGGACUCAUAGUUUCACAUUUGGUUCUCUCUACUUCAAGUGUCCUGGUCUGUUAUUUUUAUUGUAAUUUUGGUGAACAACUACUUGCUCUUUGCUAGUGGGUUGAUUAACACUCAAGUACUAAACAGCCUUCUAAUUGACUCCUACUUUGCACUCUUCCUCCAUGAAACAGAUGCCUUCAUACUGGGAGAACUACACUGUGGCAUCUUCCCAGUCUGCAAUCCCAGCAGCGCUUCCUGAGCCGAGUCUCACAUCAUGUGGAAUACCCUGAUUUGAUCUAACUGCAAGGAACAGUUUCCCACUUUUAUACAUGGAGGUAUUUUGGAAGAGGGUUUUGUUUUUGUUUUAAAUGCAACCCUGCUGUUCCAGUUCACAUUUUGUUUUCCCUAAGAGAAAAGAAAAACAACUGGAAAAUGGAUAAGAACUGUAUUGUUCCAAUCCCUACUUUCUGCCAUUUCAGUUAAUUACUGUAUUGCAGAAGUUGGUGACACUUUUCAAGAAACUGAAGUGAGCUGACCAUUGUGAAGGAAGAGAGGCUGACAGCAGAAGAGAGAGGCAAAGGGAUAAUGCCCCAGAGGCAGAAAAAAGCCAUGAGCAAAUUGAAUUACCACAGCCCAUCCCAGUGAGUCCUCUGCCCUCUCUUGUCUACCUCACUUUGCUCAUUUAACCUAAAGAAAGACUUGUAGUACUGUAAAAGAGUAAAAUCUAUCCCUUAUAACAGACAGUGUGACUUAGACGCAUGAGGACAGCCUUUGGGCCUUGUAUUCCAGCUAUACAGGCAGCACUUCCAUGUGGGAGCAAGGCGGAUGUGGUACCCACCCUAUCUGCAGGACAUAGGCUGCAGCCAUCUAUGCCCUUGUGGCCCUAUCUUGGCUUGAUGAAUUCCUCUCCACCUCAUCCUCUAUCUUGUCAGUGCUGAGCAUCAUGAUGUUAAGCCUAUUGGAAUACUUGUCUUAAAUCACAUGGAAAUAUAAAGCCUCUUCUCACAGGUGAAAUUCAGAGGCAAACACAAAGACCUGCCUGGUGCUUACAAGCUUCAUUACAACUUGUGCUGGCCAUGAUGGUCUCCCACUCCAAAGGAAGCGCCUAUAGAGCUGUGCAAAACUCAUCCCAUCCUGCUGAGAAUUUUCAGAUCUCAGAUUUUGCUUUGUCACCAACACAAAGAAAGCCGACCAGCUCUCCUCAGUGCCUGUGCCUGUUCAGGCUGCU
ensembl:lncRNA